GAUGAAGAACGUAGCGAAAUGCGAUACGUAGUGUGAAUUGCAGAUAAUGUGAAUCAUCGAAUCUUUGAACGCAAAUUGCACUCGAGGCUCCGGCCGAGAGUAUGUCUGCCUCAGCGUCGGCUUUACCCUCAUCCCUCCUCACCGGGAGGCGUGGACCUGGCCGUCCCGGUCAAUGUGACCGGGUCUGCCGAAGAACAGAGGCUCGAACGAGGACCCAAUCGGGACAACAGUCUGGUAGGUGACCCGCCAGGGAUCGCAUGCCGCUGUCGGCCCGGGACCUCGUUGUAAGCCGGCAGGAAUCGCCCGGUCGCUUUUUCUACAAAGAAGCGGCCGCGCGACACACCCUUUUCGACCUGAGUUCAGGCAAGAACACCCGCUGAACUUAAGCAUAUCAAUAAGCGGAGGA
rnacentral:misc_RNA from 1 species